GAUGAACGCUGGCGGCGUGCCUAAUACAUGCAAGUCGAGCGAACGGACGAGAAGCUUGCUUCUCUGAUGUUAGCGGCGGACGGGUGAGUAACACGUGGAUAACCUACCUAUAAGACUGGGAUAACUUCGGGAAACCGUAGCUAAUACCGGAUAAUAUUUUGAACCGCAUGGUUCAAAAGUGAAAGACGGUCUUGCUGUCACUUAUAGAUGGAUCCGCGCUGCAUUAGCUAGUUGGUAAGGUAACGGCUUACCAAGGCAACGAUGCAUAGCCGACCUGAGAGGGUGAUCGGCCACACGAGAGCUGGGACACGGUCCAGACUCCUAAGGGAGGCAGCAGUAGCGAAUCGUACGCAAUAGGCGAGAGCCUGACGGAGCAACGCCGCGUGAGUGAUGAAGGUCUUCGGAUCGUAAAACUCUGUUAUUAGGGAAGAACAGAUGUGGAAGUAACUGUGGACAGCGUGACGGUACCUAAUCAGAAAGCCACGGCUAACUACGUG
rnacentral:rRNA from 1 species